rnacentral:rRNA from 1 species
UUGCAGUUAAAAAGCUCGUAGUUGGAUUUCGGAGUGGGCCAGUUGGUCCGCCGCAAGGUGUGUUACUGACUGGUUUGCUCUUCUUCGCAAAGACUGCGUGUGCUCUUCAGUGAGUGUGCGUAGGAUUUACGACGUUUACUUUGAAAAAAUUAGAGUGUUCAAAGCAGGCUAUUGCUUGAAUACAUGAGCAUGGAAUAAUGGAAUAGGACUUUGGUCCCAUUUUGUUGGUUUCUAGGGCCGAAGUAAUGAUUAAGAGGGACAAUUGGGGGCAUCCGUAUUUCGUUGUCAGAGGUGAAAUUCUUGGAUUUACGAAAGACGAACAACUGCGAAAGCACUUGCCAAGAGUGUUUUCAUUAAUCAAGAACGAAAGUUAGAGGAUCGAAGACGAUCAGAUACCGUCCUAGUUCUAACCAUAAACGAUGUCGACUAGGGAUCAGCGGGCGUUAUCGUACGACCCCGUUGGCACCUUACGGGAAACCAAAGUUUCUGGAUUCCGGGGGAAGUAUGGUUGCAAAGCUGAAACUUAAAGGAAUUGACGGAAGGGCACCACCAGGAGUGGAGCCUGUGGCUCAAUUUGACUCAACACGGGAAAACUUACCAGGUCCAGACAUAGUAAGGAUUGACAGGUUGAGAGCCCUUUCUUGAUUCUAUGGGGUGGUGGUGC